CCUACGGGCGGCAGCAGUGAGGAAUAUUGGUCAAUGGACGAGAGUCUGAACCAGCCAAGUAGCGUGAAGGAUGACUGCCCUAUGGGUUGUAAACUUCUUUUAUAUGGGAGUAAAAUGUUCCACGUGUGGGAUUUUGUAUGUACCCUAUGAAUAAGGAUCGGCUAACUCCGUGCCAGCAGCCGCGGUAAUACGGAGGAUGCGUGCGUUGUCCGGAUUUAUUGGGUUUAUAGGGAGCGUAGGUGGAUUGUUAAGUCCGGUGUGAAAGUUUGCGGCUCAACCGUAAAACUGCAGUUGAAACUGGCAGACUUGAGUAAAGGAGCGGUAGGCGGAAUUCGUGGUGUAGCGGUGAAAUGCUUAGAUAUCGAGAGGAACAC
rnacentral:rRNA from 1 species